GGACAAUGCCUCAUGUGCCAGGUUUGGGGUUUGUCCUGGGGCAACAGGUUUGGGGUUUCACCCAGGACAACACCUCCUGUGCCAGGUUUGGGGUUUCAGCCAGAACAAUGCCUCGUGUGCCAGGUUUGGGGUUUCUCCUGGGGGAACACCUCCUGUGCCAGGUUUGGGGUUUCUCCCAGGGCAAUAGGUUUGGGGUUUCUCCCGGGGGAACACCUCAUGUGCCAGAUUUGGGGUUUGUCCUGGGGCAACAGGUUUGGGGUUUCACCCAGGACAACGCCUCGUGUCUCAGGUUUAGGGUUUGUCUUGCGCAACACCUUGUGUGUAGAUUUGGAGUUUGUCCCGGGACAACACCUCGUGUGCCACGUUUGGGGUUUCUCCUGGAGCAACAGGUUUGGGGUUUCCCCUAGGACAACACCUCCUGUGCCAGGUUUGGGGUUCCUCCCAGAACAACACCUCCUGUGCCAGGUUUGGG